GCUCUCCAAUUAGAGAGAUGUCAGAAAGAGCACAGCUAAGCAGCAAUCUGGUAAACAUAGGAAUGUUUUCAUUAAACAGCUUUGGGAUACAAAAUUAUUUAUACUGACCUUGUUUUCCAACUCUUCGGAGGCCCAAGGAGAAAUCUUGAGAUUCUGUAAGAAGUAAGGCCCCUUCAUUAUAUUGCUUCCCAUCUGUCAGGUUUGUUUUUAGGAUAUAGAGGUAUUCAUCUCUCUGGAAAUAAUGGGGAUUUCACAGGCUAGAAAAAACAUGAAUGAAACUGUUUAUCAGUGAAGGGCCUAAGAGAGCUUUGCCGCAUCGUAUGGGCAUGAACUUAAUUACAGCCAACUGGGUUAGGCUGGUGUGAGCAAGCUCGUGUUUGUCCCCCCGAGAUGGUAUUGCGGAACACGUAACCUUUUUGAGGUGCAAAAACUAACAUUUCAGGUCAAGGUCAUUGAGUGAAAACAGUUCCUGGCAGUCUCGUGCACCUCCUUCUCUGUGCUUGUAGUAGGACCGUUUUCUGAGCGGCGUGCAUGCAGGACCUGCGAAGGUUGGGCUUGAAUUUAGCCCUGUGUGAACGCGAUUGCUGCCCCGAGGAAACCGAAGGAGCCAGCGCAGCAGCCGGGGAAGCUGCACGGCGCGUGCCUGGCGUGGGACGGGUACCGAUCAGGUCUCAUACAAAUGUUUGUGGGAAUGGACCACUGGAGCUCUCUAGUCCAGCCUCUGGCUUGGAGCAGGACUGUCACCGACACCAGAUCAGCCCAUACGGCAGUGACUGCCCGCAGAGCUGUUUGCGAGGCGACGGCGAGGAAGAGGUCUGACUCACCGGUAGGUAACUGCUUGCUUAUCAAAAAUUAUUGAGAAUUUCUGACUGACUGUGUGUGACUGUGAAAUGCAUAUGCACAAGUAGGAAAGCACAGAGUAUCUCUUUGCAGCAAUCUCCUUAAGCAUUUCAGAACACGUUUCAGUGAAACUUUGGUACAACAGGAAAGUAUGAUGGCCUAUUUUUUAAGUUUCUGCAGGAAAGCCAGAUUGGUCAUUUAAUAACAUAUCAGCCGCAUCCUUAACUGUUGGAGAGUCUUUACCACUCUUUCUCAGUAAUGAAUAUCUCCUCUCUAGCAUGUUAUACUCUUCUUCCUGAAUGUUCAGAAGCCGAGUGCUGAUGUGCAGUCCA